AGCACAGGACUUUCAAGUCAGGGAGCGGAGUUUGCUUCCUGGGGAAAACUUAAGACUUUCACCCCGGAAGUGCAUGUUCCUUAGGAGUGUUUUAUUCCAAACCACAAUCUUUUUGCUAAUCUUAACUGGUUAAUUUUAAGUUUUGU